AGCCACUAGACGCUCCCACCACCACCAAACUCUCCACCAUCUUUUGCAUGUGCAACAUUUGCAGCCGGACAGAAACCUCUCCCAGGGCUAUGGAGACUGCGGGAAAAAUCCGGCUCAGCAGGAUGGAUUGCUAAAAAACCAUUAAAAAAAAUUAAAAGAAAAAAAAAGAAAGAAAAAAGGAAGGAGGGGAAAAAACUCUUCUCUUUUCUCCCCCUCCCCUUUGAAUUCAUUUUUAUUCUUAAUUUUGUUUGUAGCCACCUCGUCCUCAAUGCCUCUCUGAGCAGCAUCUAGCGAGAGAGAGAGAGAGAAAGAGAGAGAUAAGGAGAUACAGAGAGGCAAAAGAGAAGAUGAGGAUUAUUUGCAGACAGCUUGUCUUCUUGUUUUCUGGCUUUUGGGGACUAGCAAUGGGAGCUUUCCCUAGCAGUGUGCAAAUAGGUGGUCUCUUCAUCAGAAACACAGAUCAGGAAUAUACUGCUUUUCGAUUAGCAAUUUUUCUUCAUAAUACCAGCCCCAACGCCUCUGAAGCACCUUUUAAUUUGGUUCCUCACGUAGACAACAUUGAAACAGCUAACAGCUUUGCUGUAACAAAUGCCUUUUGCUCCCAGUACUCUAGAGGAGUUUUUGCCAUUUUUGGACUGUAUGAUAAGAGAUCAGUACAUACCUUGACCUCAUUCUGCAGCGCCUUGCACAUCUCCCUCAUCACGCCAAGUUUCCCCACAGAGGGCGAGAGCCAGUUUGUGCUGCAGCUGCGACCAUCUUUACGGGGAGCUCUCCUAAGUUUGCUGGAUCAUUAUGAAUGGAACCGUUUUGUCUUCCUUUAUGACACAGACAGGGGUUACUCAAUACUUCAAGCUAUUAUGGAAAAAGCGGGACAAAAUAGCUGGCAAGUCAGUGCCAUAUGUGUGGAGAAUUUUAAUGAUGCCAGCUACAGGAGGCUUUUAGAAGACCUGGAUCGAAGACAAGAAAAGAAAUUUGUAAUAGACUGUGAAAUAGAGAGGCUUCAGAAUCUUUUAGAACAGAUUGUGAGUGUUGGAAAGCAUGUUAAAGGCUACCAUUACAUCGUUGCAAACCUGGGAUUCAAAGAUAUUUCUUUGGAGAGGUUUAUGCAUGGAGGAGCCAAUGUAACAGGAUUUCAGUUAGUAGAUUUCAGUACUCCUAUGGUAACUAAACUCAUGCAGCGCUGGAAGAAGCUGGAUCAGAGAGAAUACCCAGGAUCUGACAGCCCUCCAAAGUACACAUCUGCUCUGACCUACGAUGGGGUACUUGUGAUGGCUGAAACAUUCCGUAACCUUAGAAGGCAGAAAAUUGAUAUUUCACGGAGAGGGAAUGCUGGGGAUUGUCUUGCUAAUCCUGCUGCACCAUGGGGCCAGGGGAUUGAUAUGGAGAGAACACUCAAACAGGUUCGAAUACAAGGGCUGACCGGAAAUGUUCAGUUUGAUCACUAUGGUCGCAGAGUCAACUACACAAUGGAUGUAUUUGAGCUGAAGAGCACAGGCCCUCGUAAGGUUGGUUACUGGAAUGACAUGGAUAAAUUAGUUUUGAUUCAGCAUGAACCUUCCCUUGGAAAUGAGUCAGCCAUUGAGAACAGAACAGUAGUUGUAACUACAAUUUUGGAAGCCCCAUAUGUUAUGUUCAAGAAAAAUCAUGAUACAUUUGAAGGGAAUGACAAGUAUGAAGGAUACUGUGUAGAUCUGGCAUCAGAAAUUGCAAAACAUAUUGGUAUCAAGUACAAAAUUGCCAUUGUCCCUGAUGGAAAAUAUGGAGCAAGGGAUCCAGAGACAAAAAUCUGGAAUGGGAUGGUGGGAGAACUUGUUUAUGGGAAAGCAGAGAUUGCUGUUGCACCUCUGACCAUCACUUUGGUACGAGAAGAGGUCAUUGAUUUUUCUAAGCCUUUUAUGAGUUUGGGGAUAUCCAUUAUGAUAAAAAAGCCCCAGAAAUCUAAACCAGGAGUGUUUUCCUUCUUGGACCCUUUGGCGUAUGAGAUCUGGAUGUGCAUAGUCUUUGCCUACAUUGGUGUCAGUGUGGUCCUGUUCCUAGUUAGCAGGUUUAGCCCAUAUGAGUGGCACACAGAAGAGCCAGAGGAUGGGAAAGAAGGACCCAGUGAUCAGCCUCCCAAUGAGUUUGGCAUAUUCAACAGCCUCUGGUUUUCCCUGGGUGCCUUUAUGCAACAAGGAUGUGAUAUUUCCCCAAGAUCCCUCUCAGGUCGCAUUGUUGGAGGUGUUUGGUGGUUCUUCACACUCAUCAUUAUUUCGUCAUAUACUGCUAACCUCGCUGCUUUCUUGACUGUUGAGCGAAUGGUCUCGCCCAUAGAAAGUGCAGAGGACCUGGCCAAACAAACCGAAAUUGCAUAUGGAACACUGGACUCAGGGUCAACAAAAGAAUUCUUCAGAAGAUCAAAAAUAGCAGUGUAUGAAAAGAUGUGGACCUACAUGAAAUCGGCAGAGCCAUCAGUGUUCACUAGGACUACAGCUGAGGGAGUAGCCCGUGUUCGCAAAUCCAAGGGCAAGUUUGCCUUCCUCCUGGAGUCCACCAUGAACGAAUACAUUGAACAGCGAAAGCCGUGUGACACCAUGAAAGUGGGAGGAAAUCUGGAUUCGAAAGGCUAUGGAGUAGCCACACCCAAGGGUUCUCCAUUAAGAAAUGCUGUUAACCUCGCAGUUUUAAAACUGAAUGAACAAGGCCUCUUGGACAAAUUGAAAAACAAAUGGUGGUACGACAAAGGAGAAUGUGGCAGCGGGGGAGGUGACUCCAAGGUUAGCCUCAAUGUCACCAAAGCGGGUAAACAGUAUGUAAAGUAAUUGGUGCAUCUGCUGGGGCUUUACCUGCAACCAACCAAACUUCAGUAUUGCUAGUCACUGAGCUCAAGAUCCAGACAGAUGUAUGCGAUUACUGUCAAAGCAAAAAUAUUUGCAUUCGUUGCAAGUUUCUCAAGUGGAACUUGUUAACAAACCAGUUUAAGCUAUGAAUUCUAUCAUCAAUGCUCAGAAACCUUCCUCUGUCAAGAAUAGAUGACAUGCGCCCUACGCAAAAAGAUACAAGACCACAGCCAUCUCAAAGCUAGGUCUAGUGAACAAGCAGCAGGAGACCCAGACUCAAACAUGACUCCUCAUUUUCUGGACUGCAUUGCUCCAAUGUGUUUUCCCCUCAAUAUUAGAGGAAGGUGGAGCAGCUCAGCUCUGCUCCCUCAUAGCAGCGGCUCAGGAUGUACAGGCUCAGGAAUUUUCUAUUUAUACAAAUUUCCAUUUCCAGCCAAAGUAUCCAAUGCACUGAUGCAAUUUCCAGUUAAAAUAGCACACAGUGGAAUGUUGUGAUACAUUACCUGGAAGCUAAAAUUCAUGUGUAUUCCUUAGGAAAAAAGUUAACUGGAAAUUGCACCUCUCUCUUAUCCUUCGCCAUGUCAACAGUGCUGAAUUUUAGGCCGUUACUCAUGCCCUGGAUAAAGUUAACCUACUUUUCCUUCAUUUCAUCUAAACUGAGACUUUCAAAUCGCCAGUCAUAUAACUUGUUUUGCCUUCUCACAUCAGCAUCCAUUAGGCAAACUAAUGUGUGCUGAAAUGGCAUAGAGGGAAAAUUAAGAUACUAAAAGUAGCCCUCAAUGUGCCAAUCAAACACUCUUCAAUAUAUAUUUGUGUGCAUGUGCGUGUAUGGUAUAUAGAGAGAAUACUACAUGGGUAACUGUGAAGAUACAAGGCUAUCUAUACUGAGGGGUUCUGGUGACACUGAGGGAACCCAAAAUGUUUAAUUAGCCUUCUUUACAGUUUCUUACAUUGUAUUUUUUCUCCUCCCCUUCCUCAACCCUCCUUUCCUGACACUCUGCCCUUGCCGCAGAGACCUCUCCUUGUGCUGCUCCGCACUCACACAGAUCUGGUGUCCUAGUCCUCUGUGCUUUGCCUUCCAUCCUGCUGCUCUAGCAAGUUUUUUUCCCCACAGCUCUGCUGGCCAGCGGUUACAGUUUUAAAAGUGGUCUUUAGUUUCUUCUCCAAAGUAUGUGGACAUGAAGUUCAUUAGCACUUACUGCAACUGCAGAUAACUUCUUGUAAGAAAGCCUAUCUGAUAAGCCAUAAAAUUCUGACUUUCCCCCUUUUUUUUAUUUUUUAUAAUACUCCAUCCAAGUCACCACUGGGCUGAAGUUUCACUCGUGAAACUUCACUGUUGGGCUUUUUAAAAAAAUACUAUAUAAUAUAAUAUUAUAGAAAUGUCAUGGAGGUCAUACUACACUUGUGAAUGAACACUUUUUUUUCUAUAAUGUAGCUGAAUCAUCCCGAAAAAUCUCAGGAAAAACUUCCUAGCUGUAGGAACAGUAGGACAAUGGAACAGACUGCCUCAGGAGGUUGUGGAAGCUCCUUCACUGGAAGUUUUCAAAAGGAAGCUGGAGAGCCAUCUGUCUGGGAUGGUUUAAACACAACAAUCCUGUGUCUUGGUGGGGGUUAGACUAGAUGAAUUUUGUGAUGCCUCUAACCCUAUGAUUCUAUUAUCAGUUUGAAAUAUAAAACACAAAACUAUGCUUAAUGUUUCAAAUCAGUAUAAUGAGAUGAUUACCUUAGAACUCUAUUUGCCUUAACAUCUGUUAUUAAUAACCCUGGUAGAUAGGGACCACAUGCAAUGAGGUAGAGGAGGGCAGCCGGCAGAGGGAAAAGCAGGAUGUCCUAGGAUAUCACAGGGAAGUGACUGCAUAAGGAGUGGCAGGAAAAAAAGCAGUAGUCGGGAAGGAGAAAGCUAGGAAUGCAGCUACAUGAAGUAAGGUACAGGUCCUGCAUGCCCAAUGAGAACAGAAAGUGAGUAGGGACACAUUGCACGGGGGAGUGUAAAAAAUGUGACACAGGGAAAGUUGAGACUGCUACAUCACAGUAGGAAGGAUGGUGGAUAAAGGGAGUAUUAUCAGGGAUAAACAACAUUGGGGGGUGUAAUAUAUAAAUGCUGCAUAGCUGCAGCAUCUGUUUUCUUAAAAAAUACAGAUGCCUGAACUCUUGACUGGUUGAUAUAAAUGUUUUAUUGACAUUUAUCAUCUACAGAAUUCCUUGUUUUGAAGUAAAUCUACACAUCCACUAAUAAUCUUAUGGGGUCUGAUCCACUGAUCCACAGACUGGUAGUCUUUUUAUUGAUUUCAUUGGUCCCUGGAUAAAAGCUUUUAUAUUUUUUUGUUUUUGUUUUUGCUCUCAUAUGAUCAAGUUAGCAGAACAUACUGAACAGUACCACAGGUUGUUCUGCUGUACUGCUAACUGCUACAAACAGUAGUUCAAGUUCAUGAGUCAGGCCCUUAAUCAGAGUCCCUUUUGUGAGCUGUAUAAAAUUUAAAAAAAUGAUUGGAUUGAGUCCAGUUCUAGAUUACAGUAUGCUACAGUCUCCUUGAUGAGAUUAACAACCUCUCCCCCACCAUGAAAGCAAUACAGCACUCUAGGCGUACCUGGCCAAACUGAGCUGUGCCCUCUGAUAUACAGCCAACCAGCCAGCACACACAACCCUAAACCCAAAGCAUUUCUUCAUGGCCAUGCCUAGAGACACGCUGUAAUCAAUUUAAGUUGCUCAGCAACUCUCAGAAGGCUUUUAGAUCUUGUGAAACCAGGCCCUUGCAAACUCCUAGAUCCAGUCUGUGCUCUUAAACUAACAAUUAGUAUAUAGUAUGGCUGUACUAGCCCUCACCAUUUUUGUUUUAACCCCAGCUACAAAAGAAAAGGUCUCCAACAAUUCAUAAAUAUAGUUCAUUAGUAUUUAGUGGUUACCAGUUCCCUUCAAGAACUCCAUGUCACUAAUUUAUAGCUCAUAUUGACUAUCAAUAAGAUUUAGUGCUAACGUCAUUUUUGAAAACAGUAAUUAGGUGCUUUUGAAAAUAAUAACCCAAGUCUUAAACAUAUGCUGCCACAGGUGUAUCUGAUAACAUUAAACUUGUUUAAACAUAGUUUUUGCUAUUUAAUUUCCAUUUCUUUCUACAAAAGUAGAAAACAUUGACCAAUAACAAUAAAACUGGCUCUCUAGUUCUGUUUUCCACCCACAUGCUAAUACAAUGUUCCUCUUCUUUCAUUUAGUGGAUGGGAUUGGCCUUAUGACUAAUUAAAGGCCUACUCACAAGUGGCUAAGGAGAGUGCUCCUAUUGCAUAGCAAUUAUCCCCCUCUUUGAAAUUUUGCAGUGGUUUUAGAACUCCGUGCUGUAGUUCUUACUGCUGCAUGUGCCCAUUAGCACAGUGUUGUAUGAUAUUAAAUUAGGAUCAUUUUUCACAAUUAAAUUAUUCAAGUUUUAUGGCAUUAUAAUUUCAAUUAUGUUACCAGCAUAAAAAUCAGGGUCUUAGCCUUUUGAAAAUAGUUCCUCCCAUCAGUAAAUGAGUGAAGAUGGAACAGGAGAAAAUGACAGGAAAGCCAGGUGGGGAGGUGGAAGUUGGUAAAAUAAAAAAUAAAGAAUGUCUUUAAUUGCAUAUUAUUCUUCCUGGCCCCUAUCCUCCGGUCAGUACUUAAACAGCACUGCCACUGAUUCUAAAUUGUCUCACUCUGACUGUUGGACUGGAGACUUGGAUCUUCUUCACUAUAAAAUCCUAAAAUUCUUAUGAUAUAUAGUAUAUGCAAUGUGACUAUUUAGAUAGUAUGGGACAAAUUCUGCUGUGUUACUCCAGAUUCACACUUCUGGAAAUUAGAGCACAAUUUGCUCCUAGUACUGCAUGUGCAAGUGAAAAAUUUAUACCACCCCCAACAUAAAUAAUGGGUCACAUCUUCAGCUGAUGUAAGUUGACUUCAAUAGAGCUACACCAGCUUACACUGAUAGAGAAUCUGGACCAACUUUUUUAACUUGAGUCCCUAACCAUGUUUUAAAAAAAAAUCAUAUUAUCAUUUGGCAAUAAAAUGUACAGUAUACAGGACUGAACUUGGUGGAACAUUUAAUUCCAGACGACUUAUCCAUUUUAUGUUUUUGUACCACCCUUAUCUAAUAUGCCAUAAAUCAUAUUGACUUAGAUUCUGCCACCCUUAAAAUCAAUGGAGCUACUUACUAAAUAUGUUUCUACUCAAUGUGGGAAAGGUUGGUAGCAUCUGAGUGUUUGACAGGUGUGGUUAGAAAAAGGUAGGGUUUGAAGGAGAGAUUUUCAAACAAACAAAGGGUUGCAACAUACUCAAUUCCCACUGAAAGCCAAUGGGAUUUGGACACUUAACUCUUAUUUCUGCCUAAAAUGUUAAAAACAAAACCAAAAAAACGUUAUUCUUUAUGAAUUUUGGUGAAGAACUAAAAUAUAUACUAACUGUAGUCUGGUUUUGAUAGAAAUUUUGCAAGCCUCUAAAGUUCCAUUUAAUUUUGAAUGUGUUUUUAAACUCAGUCUCUCAGAUCACUUUUAAAUCUUGAGCUUUUCUUCCUACCUUUAAUAUCUACCUAUGAUAUCACAUGUGGCUUAUUUAAAGAUGGACACAAAUACAAUUUUAAAAAUAUCAAACAUUUUUAAGUUCCCAAAGUGUCUACAGUAUUUAGUCAUGUGCCUUAGGAAAGGCUUAAGCUCAAGAUGGUGCUGUUUACAUAAAAACUAAAGGGCCAAAUUCUGUCUCAUCCACACACACAAAACUCCCAUUGAAGCCAUGUGCAGUGGAUGGAAGUGUGUAAGGGCAAGCUUGCCUUAGCAGCUGUAGACUAUUGAUAGGGCAAGUGGCUGAAUAGAAAGAGCAGUGCUAGAGAACACUGAAACGUGACCUCUCACACAGAGCUCACUGACUGCACUGCUAUGGAGCAAAUGAAAUUCUGCCUCUAUCCUGCCCAUUGCAACCGGCUACAUAAUACAGAAGGCUGGUUAACGUGCAAAUGUAAUUUUCCCGUUAGAAAGUAAAUCAUGAAAUCAGUUGUUUUUCUCAAUGAAAAGAAAACCUGAAUGUUCCCGCCAAAGCACUGUGUAUGCAGAAGAUGCCUAUGGGAGCAGAAAGGAUGAUACAGAUGGAUCAAGAGUGGGUGGGAAAGAAGAAAGAAACUCAAAAUGUGGCAGGCGUUAGGCAGCUUUAUGUUCCUAGAUUCUGAAUGCUUGUGCUGAAAUAUCAAGCAAAAGAGUGGAGAAAUUACUACUGACUCCCCCUACACACAGGUAGCCACUGUUCUUGACAGCUCAUAUACAUAAUUCAUUAAUAUCUAGCUCCUAAUUUUCAUCUUAUUUAAACCAGUUGAAUCUGGAAUAACUCCACUGACUUCCGUGAAGUUGUUCUGGAUUUUCACGGUGACAACAGAACCUGGCUGUCCCUUCUAUGUAUAUCCUGUGAUGUGGCUGGGGAUAGAAAGAUUCAAAUGGGGCACUGAGCCAAAACAUUAGUGGUGUUGGACAAUAGCUAUCCAAGCCAUAUUACAAUGUCAGUUAUGUCACACCUGUAGCAGAAGCAAACAGAGAUCAUAUUAAGAGGCAGCUUGCCAGCAUCCCAAACUGCCACCCACUAAUUUUAGUUUUCUCAGCCGUGAUAAUAUCUGACUCCACUUGCAACCUGCACAGCCUGCUGCCAGGAAGCCUGACAAUAAAAUGUAAGUUUAAAUACUGAACAAGAUCAAACAAUAUAUAUUUUUUUUGUAGUAGUAUCAGUGUGUUCUGUAUGAACUUAGUGGGGUUGAAUUUGAAAGCAUACAAAGUAUUGUAUUUGCUUAUAGAGAUCAUUACAGAGUAUAUGGAAAUGUAUUGAAGGUAGUCCAUAUGAAUUAAAGGUCAUGAUCCAUAGAGCUAACAUUGGAAGCCUGAAUUAUUAUUUAUGUUAAUAUCUAAAUAUAUUUCUUCAUGAGAAUUCCGAGAAAUAUAGUUAAAUCAGUUACAUAAACAUAAUUCGAGCAUGACUAAAACCCUUUUUCUUUUAUAGUAAUGCUUUUAAUAGUGUCAUUCAUUUCUGACAUAGUGUCACUAAACUAAUUAAUAUUUCAGUUGUUUUACAGUUAUUAAAAUUUUAAAUCAUGCAUUUAUAAAUUAUCAUUUUAAAAACACUAUGGGUUGUAGUACGUUACAUGAAGAGUUCCAUCAGAGGAAUCUGGUGAUACCUUAAACACACAAGCUCAAGUUUUUUAUUGUAUAUCGUUACCAGAACAUGUCGAUGCUAUCAUUUUCUGAUAUCUAAGAGUAGCCCAUCUAUUAUAUAGUGUUUCAGGUUUUCUGCCUCCCUCUCUGGUAUACACUGUAUAUUCAUACACACCUGCACAUAAAUACGUAUCUAUAUGCGGGUCAAUGUUUUGAGAGGGAAGGCAAAUUAAAAUUCUCAUAACCAAUUAUUAUUUCAGUUGUUUUCAGGAUAAACUGCCCCAGUGGCAUGAAGGGUGAACAUUAGUACAAGACACUGGAGCUUUUUAAAGGAGUUUUGGUAACUUCAGUGUAACUCCACAGCAGCUCAUGACGUUGAUGCAAUGGAUUAUGUUUUAUAUGAAGACUAAACUUGGUUGGAUUGUCUUAAUCAAAUACAUAAGUAGGAGAGCAGGUUCCAAGCAAUAAUUUAUUAUCUCACUGGAACCAACUCACUAAAUAAGUGAGAUUUAAAUAAAACCCAGAUUUUAUUUUCCAGGAUCAACAGGUCAGUCCAAAUGAUAUUGGAUAUGGAAACAUGUACUAAGGCUUGACAGUCAUUUUCCUUUAUUCUGAGGUUAACAACAUUAGGACCUCAUCCUGUAAGUUCUAUGCAUGCAGAACUACUGCUGCAGUCAAUAGGUUUUCUGCAUGAAGGAUGUUUAUAGGUUGUGCCAAUUAAUACUGUAAACAAACUUCAUGAGAAUUAAAAUUUCACUUAUCUGUAUCACUGUGAAGGCAGUAAAUGAACUAGCUAUGGCCAAGUUGUAUUCUAUAUGAGUGUGUGCAUGUGUAUACACACACAAACUAAAAUAAAUUGAAAGCCAGGAACACAAAAGUCUUCUAUCCAAUCUCAUUGUACUGAAGACAUUUUAAAUCUCAGAAUAUGUUGUUAAUACUGAUAAGCCAAUAGUUUUGGGUUCACAGUAAUUGCAUACUAGUUAUUUAAAAAUCUUCCCCAGCAGUAUGUGCCUGUUACCUAAAGCGAUGGAGCAGGUCCCAGUCAUAUGUCUGUUUCUAAACCUGGGCCUACAGUACAUGACAUAGCACCCACUGUGGCCUCUGCUCCGUCACUUUGCAAUGCGAUUCUAUGUAGUUUUACUUGAAUAACAUAAAAUAACAUAUAUAAUGUUAUUUAUGUUAUUUUCCACGUGAAGAACUCCUGUAAACCUUGCCGUUUUGAAACUCAGUGAGGCAGGCGUCUUAGACAAGCUGAAAAACAAAUGGUGGUACGAUAAAGGUGAAUGUGGACCCAAGGACUCUGGAAGUAAGGACAAGACGAGUGCCUUGAG